rnacentral:lncRNA from 1 species
AAAAUCUAAUCAGCUGCUAGGAAAUAUAAAGCAGGCAGAAAAUGUGAAAAGGUGAGACUGGCCUAGGCUCCCAGCCUACAUCUUUCUCCCAUGCUGGAUGCUUCCUGCCCUCAAACAUCAGCUCCAAGUUCCUCAGUUUUGAGACUCAGACUGGCUCUCCUUGCUCCUCAAGGUUUCAGACAGCCUAUUGUGGAAUGCUGUGAUCAGCCUUGGGAGGACUACUCAGAUGAUAGGAACCAGUGGUUGAAAAAGAAAGAGAAACAAGAUGAAAGGAUUCGUGACUUUUCUGGGAAGUAUAAAAAGCUAUUUUGUGCCUCUUCUUUAUUUAGUUGCCAAUAGAUUGUUUUAUUUAUCUAUCUUGUUGUGUGAUAAAAUGCGAUAUGGGAGUAAUUGUUUUUCUUGUGUGUGCAUGCAUGUACGUAUUUCUAUUUUGAUGAAGUGCUGACCCUGCUGAUUCAGAAUACCUUUAAGUUUUACAAAGAUUUUGUUUUCUCCUGGCUUCCUCUUGCAUACACAAAGGCAGUAAUAGAGUGUCAUUUAAAUAAUAUGCCUUGGUUAGAACACAGCAAACUAGUUAAGAGAAACAUUUUAGAGGUUGACCUAAAAUACAUUAACUUUGAAAUAAAUAUACAUCUGGUAUAAAGAAUGAAUUUUACCAAAUAUGCAUAUCAGUUAUACCAACAGAUACCAUUUUGGGAA